UAUGGUCCUUUGCAGAAAAUGUUUGCCAACUCCUGUUCAAUGGGACUUUGAAUGAAAAGACAAGUUUUCCACCCCAAUAUAACCAAUAUACAAUGAUACAUCAUUUUAAAAAUGUAAUUCUAAAAAGGGAUUGUUGGGUGACACUCUUACAUGAAUUUUGUCCUAAUAUUGGUCUUUGUGAGGGUGGUGGCCAAUGCUCCUUGGAAUGUCCUGCCUAUUCUUUUUUCCUAAUGUGGCCUUACGUAAACUGAGGUCAUGGAAGCAUGAAAUCCAAAAUUUUCUAACAAGGCUUCCAAGGGUGGAUCUUAUUUGUUUCAGUAGAACAAAACUUGCUAUUCUAAUGGUCUCUCCACUUUUCCUUCUGCCUCUGAGCAAGAUGAAGAAAAAAAGAUGAAGCUGUUUUCCAGAGACCAGCACUUCAUCCCUGAGAAAAUGUCAAGAUUAUAGGCAUGCUCUAUAGAAGAUAAUGAGUUAAUACCGAAUGGCUAAAUCAGGGGAGUAUUUGAUUGGGGUUCCCAGAAACCAACAAGAUGUGGAUUCAUAUUCAAAUGCUUCCAGGAGAAUCAAGUAAGGAAGUUAAGAAAGAGAAAGAAAGGAAACAAAGGAAAAAAAUGGCAGCAUACUGAAACGGUAAAUGGAAAGGCCAUGUUUUUUGAGUGACACCAUUAGAGUAAAAACUAGCCAGAGGCAUCUGGUGGACAAGCAUCUGAGCCACACAGGAGGGAAGUCCUGUCCAUGAGAUGCAUUCACGUGAGUCCUGGAUUCAACUGCUUAGCUUGGCUCCACCAUGGGUUCUUCUCAAAAACCAACCUUACAAAGUUGUUGUAAAGGCUAACAAACAUAUUUAUUUAUAGAACAAUAUAAAUGAUAGGUACUUGAUAAAUGGUGGUUAUUUUAUUAGUAUGCUUAAGUAAUGGAGCUUAAUCCAUUCAAUCAAUUUCUCUAUUUUUCACAGAGAUAAGGAAAUGAGCUUUUUGACAGCUUUUCCCUGCUAUUAGAUUAGUUGACAAGAUGGUGUUAAUACACCCAUUCAACCACCGUGGCAGACACUGUAGUUCCCGGACAGUGAAAUUUUUGUUGCACCAAAUACGAUUAUUGUGGUUUUUGUUUACAAUGCUAUACAUGUUUGUUGUUUAUUUUAUUUAACUUUAGUAGAAAUGAGUUGCUUUAUUUAAAAAAAAUGACUGCUAAUUUGAUCACUGAAAUAAAAUUAAAUGGCAGUUCAAGAUGCAGACUUCUAACCAAGCUCUAGUAUUAAACAAUGCUGCUACUUUCCAAUUCUCACUACUCAUCAGAUGUGUUGUAUAUAUCCAAGAUUGCGGAAUUUGGGAAAAAAUAUUUUUUCAUUUAAGAUGUCAAGUGUAUUUUUUGAGUAGAUCAUCGUGAACAUUGAGAAGUUUUGGAUCAUUUGCCCAUAUAUGUUAACUGAAUAAAUGUACUGGAAAAAUCUCUCUCAGCAUUUUAAACUAUUGACUUGUUUGUUAAUGCAAAUUUAGAAUAUAUCAUGAGACAUUCUAUCCCAAGAUCUGUUGAAUUUUGUUGUAUUAUAGACCAGGGAAUAAACAAAAAAUCUACAAAUCCAAAAAAUAAGAGCAUAGAUGAGUAUUUUCAUAAUAUUUUUGAAAAUCUCUGAGAAAGAUGAUUUAUAAGAAAACAUAAUACUGGGUCAUUUUGUCUCCCAUCUUUAUACAACUUGGUGAGUUGAGUGUCUGUUGAGUUUUGCUGUAUAAUAGACCAGGAAAUAACCCAACAGUUCACUAUAAAAGCUUAGAUGGAUAUUUUCAUAAUAUUUAUGAAAAUCUCUGAGAAAGAUGAAAAGAAAACACAAAACUGGGUCAUUUUGCCUCUUGUCUUCAUACGACUUUGUAGGUGGUCAUUAAAAAUAAUUCCAUCCUAGUCCAUAUGAAUGCUGUAAUUUUGUUAAAUAUUACUAGAAAUAAUAGAGUUUAAAAUAUAAUACUUGUUAAAUAUUACUAGAAAUAAUAGAGUUUAAAAUGUCAUACUUAACAUUCUAAAAAGAGAAAAUUAUUAGGUUGGUGGAAAAGUAAUUGUGGUUUUUGCCAUUACUUUUGCACAACCUAAUAAGUUAGAUUAUCAUUAUUAUGGAACAUUAUCUUAUAUUAUUUCCUUCAAAAAGGUGUAGCUUUUCAAACGCCAUUAGACAUUAAACCCUUUUAACACAUGAGUUGUUUGUAUUUUGCUUUUCUAACAAGACAUCUAGAAUAUGCUACGUUUUCUACUUUAGCAUUGUUUCAACUUUGAAUAAUUACUUUCUGAUAGAUUGAAUGUAGGUUUAUUGAGAGGAAUUAUCAUUUUAAAUUGUUUUGGAUAUUUUUUCCUUUACUACUCAGCAAAUCAAAAACUAUUGUCAAUGCUCUAAUUAUGAUUUAUAGAGAUUAAUUCCCACUACCAAAGUGUUGAUCAUGAUUUUUUUUUUUUUACAGGUACUAAAGCAGGUGUUUUACCUAACAUCUCUGUGUUGCCAGGUUUUGCAGCCACUGAAGUUAUUGAUCACUUUUCAAAAAUGUCUCACUUUGCAUAUCGACUACCCUCCGUUGCUCCCUGCUAGUUUUUAAAUCUGCACUUUGGGGCACUAGAAGUGACUGAAAUAUCAGUUAAGUCCUAUUUGACAAAUACGUAUUUAGAGUAACCAAUUCAAUAGGGCCAUAAAGAAACUACGGGGUUAGUGCUAGUUAAUAUUGAGACAUCAGUUUUGGGAAUUUUGCUGUUUAUUGGUGGAAGCUACAACGAGAUUUUGUGUAGUUUCUAUUAAAACAAUAAAAUAUUAUCUGAUUCAUAAUUCAGUUCAAAAUACGCUUUAAUGUUUUGCUAGAUGUGUUGGACACUCAGCUUCUAUUUCCAUGGGCUGAAUAAUUGAUGUUUACAUUUCCCAGACAUCCAUACAGUUAGGGUUCUAAAAGUAAGUUACAUCUUCCACUUGGAUUUGGAACAUUUCCUCAUUCCAGGUUCCAGACCGCUAUAUCAACAGACUCGUAGAAUGUUACUGAACACACUGAACACACUGUUUGGUGGUGAACAGAUGGUGGCUAAGAAGUUGCUCAUGGUUCCUGGGAGUCCUAACCAGGGCCUGAUACGGCAAACCUUUCAAUGAUUUGUAAACUCCUAGUGUAUCUUAUCUCCUUAAAACACAUAAACACGUAAAACUGUGUCUCCUUAAAACACAGCAUGGUUUUGUUUUCACCACUGAGCCCAAAGUAAUUAAAACGAACUGCUAUCACAUUCAUUUGUGUGUGUGUGUGUGUGUGUGUGUGUGUGUCUGUGAUUUGCAAAAUGAUAUAAAUAGGUAGAUAACAUUGUUAAAUAGAUAAAGCCUUAGAAGACGAGAGGAUACAAAUUAAUAUUUAUUAUACCUGUGUUCACUACAACAAUCCAGUUUGUGUUUUGCACUGUAAAUCCCAAAAUGUGUUAUAUUAUUUUUGUCAACUAGCGUUGCCAACACAAAGCCAAUAUAAGUUGAUUUUACAAGAGUAUACAUAUAAUAUUUAACAGCUGGGUUUGAAAAUAAUUCAGGUUUUAAAGUUGGAAGUAUCUUCGCUUUUAGUAGGUAAAGAAAUAAAAAUCUGAGAGGAAGGAUUAGGUGAUGUAAUUUCUUCUGUUUGAUACUUAAAUUCCAUAAGAGUCUAUAUUUGAGAAAUAUAAAAAUAUUGCUGAGUAGCACUUUUCUGGGACUUUGAGAAGUGUGGGAGACAGAAUGCACUUUACGAACAUUUUUUAUGCCUUGUAAAAAUAGCACUACAUAUAUAUGUGUUUAACUCUACAUAGCAAUGAACUUACUUUCUCUCUGCUUUUUAUAUUCCUUUAUGGUUUACUACCUUAGGCAUUAAAUCAAGAAUUUAAUAUGUUGAGGGGAAAGGGUUGCAUAUCAAAAGUUUCUUUCUUCAAGCAAAUAUGUGGUGGAUUCCCACAUGUCUACUGAAAUAAAACUAGGGAAUAAUAUGUAUGUGUAUUACAAUAUUCUUUUCAAGACUUUGGCAGGAGAAUUAUUUAAGUAUGUCAUUCUAUCUUGAAAGCCAACUAUGGGUUUAUGAGGGGGAGGGGAAUACAUCUAUACAUUAAUUCUUGCAAGGUUAAGAAGUUUUGGGUUUGAGUCUCGUAGCACUAAUUAAAAUUUUGUGGUUUUCAACAAGUGAUGCAUUACAUUUGAUUUAUUCUGCAUUGAAGAAGAAAGAAUAUCAUCUCUCAUCUCAUCUAAUGUUUAUCAAUCGGGUUAGCCAUUCUAACAUAGAUUUGAUGUUUUUAAGCAUCUUAAUGCAUAGUUAAUUGCAAUUGGCAAAUAACCUAUAAAUGCAUUGUGCAAUGGGCCUGCUGGUAUGGGAUGAGGUCAGCGUAAUGCAUGGCGAGAGGCAGCUUAGCUUUGUGGCUAAACACAGGUGUUCUGCAUAUCUGGGCUCCAAUAUCUGGGUUCAACUCCUAACUCCAUCGAAUACUAACCCUUUGAUUUUGGGCAUGUCACACAAUUUCAGCUUCAAUUAUUUUCUGUAAAAUGAGUAUUAUAAUUGUAUCUACUUUAUUCAGUUAAUGUGAGGAUCGAAUGGGUGAUUCAAGAUGUUGAUGCAUAUUCUCUAAAAAGAGGAAUUCUCCACUCUUAAUUGAUAUCAAAGGUACGAAAAAAUAAAUAAUUCUGCCAGUGCAUAACCUCAUCUAAAUGAUAGCUGCCUGAAAAAUACCAGAUAGAAUCCUAAAAUAUAAAUUUAGGAUUAUAUUUUAAAUAAUGUAUACAGUAUCUCUUUAAAAUGCUGCUUCUGCUCGGGGGUAACUUUCCAGAUGCUGAUAGGCAAGGGGUCUGGCUGUGGGGCACAGGCACUUCAGCCUCCUCCCACAGCCUCUGAAUGAUGAGGCGCAGACACACCCAGCAGCAUGCAAAUGCCUUGCCAUCUCUAUAAUCCUGCCCUCCAUGUGGGGCAUCUUAUUCUGUUCUGGUUGUCAUAGUAAAAUGCCACAAGGUGGGUAGCCUACUAAUGACAGGACUUUAUUUCUCACCAUCGUGAAGCCUGGGAAGUCCAAGGUCCAGGCACAAGCAGAUUCAGUGUCCAGUGAGAGGGACUUUCUGAUUUAUAAAUGGUGCCUUCUUGCUGUGUCCUCACAAGAAUGAAGAGAAAAGUAGCAUUCUUGCACCUCUUUUAAGGGCACUAAUCUCAUUGCAAAUCACCUAAUCACCUCCCAAAGACCCCACUCCUAAUAUGGUCACCUUCCAAAGACCCCACUCCUAACACUGUCACCUUCCAAAGACCCCACUCCUAAUAUCAUCACAUUGGGGAAUAGAUUUGAACAUUCGGAUUUUCGAAGGAACACAAAUAUUUAGACCAUAGCAUGAGAUGCCCAUGUUAGAUUUGUAGCCAGACUAAGGCAGCAGGGAUGCUGGAAAAGGGAUUUCAGUGGAAUCUAGGAGCAAGGUCGGGCAGCCAGCAGUCUUGAAUCACCACCCCGCCACAUCCCUGUGGCCUUCCACUUCUACAAAGGAGGGCUCUAACCUGGGAUUCAGCCAACAGGCUUGGAAUCUCUCCCUCUGACCUCAUAUUUUGAGUUAAAGGAGGUCUUCAAUGUGAAUGCAGCCCUGUAGAUGGGGCAGUCUUGUGCAGAAGAUAAUCCGAAUACUGUUAUGUGAUAUGUCUGACCAGAGCCUCAUUAUUUACUCAGAAAAAUGGUUAUGCUAUUUGAUACGGAAGAAGUGAUUGAUAGUGUAGUUGCUUUCGGUAAAUAGGAAGGCUGCAGGUUGAUGAUUUCUUAGAUACCCAUGAGACUGGGUUCACUUCUAUAGACAUAGGACACACCAUUUUAUUGUCUAAAGAGCAAAGAAGUCCUAUUAUAUUGCUGAUUUGGCUCAUCCUGAUUCAGAGCCUAGAUGAGGCUGUACCUCCUUGAACUAUGUUCAUAUUUCAGGCAUCUGGGUAGAUCUUAGUGAAAAGGCAGUGGCACAUUUUCUUCUCUGAUGACAACCUCCCCUCUUUUCAGCUCUUCCACCCCACUACUCUUGGUGAACCUACUUUUACGUGCAUCAAAAUCUUUAGUCGUCCAACCACUCCUCCUCUCCAAUUCAUUCUAUUUGGCCUCCUGAUGCAAAACCACUGUAUUAAUAAAGUUGCUCUAAGCCCUUUAAACUAAUUUCAUGACUUAUUCUUCUACUAUAACUUUCUUAGGUGUUCUUCUUGCCUCUUGCACUUAAGAAGCAGAAAAUCAUUAAAGACUGUGGUAAAAGUACUGACGUGCUUAAAUAAAACAGUUCCAGCCCACCUGGUUUAUUACUGUUCAGAGUCAAGUAAACUUCUCAUUGUUGAGGGACUAUCUUCAGCAAAAAUUUCAAGUUUUUUCUGCCCUAAGCAAUCCUUCUAUAGCAUCUGGGUCUGCUCAGCAACUUACAACUUUCUACAAAUAAGAUUAACAACAACAGAGGACUCCUUUCACCUCACUUGAGAAUUUAUCUGUAUCUUCUUUGUGUCUCAGGGAAAGUAAUGUCUCUUCUCUUCUCUUUACUUAUCCUCCUAACUUGCCCUCUCCUACCUGCACCAGUCAUUCUGAUCUUCCACACUUCUUCACUUUCUUCUCUUGAUAAAGUUCAUGCCCAGAGAUUCUGUUCUACCUGAUUUUCAGUAAGUCCAUUUGAUUUGACUAUUCCUUUUUCCUGGGUUUUACUCUUACCUUAUACAUUAUCAAUUUUCCUUUCCAAAUCAUUUUGCUCUUUCUUCAAGAUAUGUGUACAAUGAUACUGCCCUAUCUUCCUUGAAAAUAAAACAGUAUUUCCAGCCAUUAUUGAAAAUACAACUUCCCAGACCAGUUCCUGAAGGUGCAGAUGACAAUGGGUCUAGAAUGAGGCCUAAAAAUAUGUAUUUCUAACAAGCUCCCCCCAGAUGCUUCUAUCAGUCUUUUUCCUCCUUCUUACUACAGUUUGGACCUGCUAUUUUCUUGAUGCUACAUCUCCUCUCUAACUAUUGUCAUAUUUGCCUGCUGUGCUAAAAUUUCUUGAAAAAGAGGUCUAUUCUUGCUAUAUUUAAUUUACCUUUCCCUUAAACCUACUCCAGUCAGACUUUCAGCUCCAUCAUGACACUGAAACUCUUUCUGUCAAUAUCAGCUGUGAUUUCCGUGUCAAUAAAUCCUACGGCCCUUAUUCAUUUCUUAGCUUUUUUGACAUAUCAUACACAUGUAGAUGUUACUCCUUCUCAUUGAAUACACUUUCUCUUCUUGUCUUUCAGAGUGCCACCGUAUUGGUUUUUCUACUAUCCACUGUUUGCCAUUCUUGAUCUGCUUAGUGCUUUCUCUAUGUCUUUUUGAUGUUUUAACAUUGCAGAGUCCCAAGACUGCCCCUAAACCUUUUGUCAUCUCUAUCUCUACUCAUUCCUUUUGUAAUGUUAUCAAGUUUUGCAAUUUUAAAUAUUAUCUGUACUAUGAUGACUGCUAAGCUUAUAUCUCUGAAACAGCCUACUCUCCUGAUCUUUGAAUUCGUUAUCUAACUCCCUGCUUAACAUCCAUCCUGAGUGCUUAAUAGACAUUGCAAAGCUAACAUGUUCGAAAAGUAACUUUAUGUUAUUACCCUUGGUGCUCCCUCAGUAUUUCCUAUUUCAAUAAAUGACUAUCUUCUUUUUCUAGCUAUUUAAGCAAAAACAAACAAACAAACAAAAACAAAAAAAAACAAAAAACUGGGGGUCAUUUUUGGCUUCUCUUUUUCUCAUAUUUCUCAUAGAAUCCAUCAGUAUAUGAUUUUGGCUCUAUCUUCAAAAUACAUCCAUAAUUCAACCAAUUCUCAUCACCUUCACUUAUUGCUAUUAUCCUGGUGCAAGUCACCAUUGGCUAUCUUCUGAAUUUUUGUACUAGUUUCUUAACUGGUCUACCUAUGUCCUCUCUUGUCUCAGUAAAAUGCAUUGUCUUCUCAACAGAGCAACGGAGAGAUCUUUAAAAGAGGUGCAAGAAUCUCGCGUUAUGGUCUGAAUAUGUGUGUUCCCUUAAAAAUCUGUAUUUUGAAAUCUAAUCCCUGAUGUGUUGGUAUUAGGAGUGGGGUCUUUGGAAGGUGAUUAGGUGAUUUGUAAUGACAUUAGUGCCCUUAAAAGAGGCAUAAGAAUUUUACAAAUCUUAUCUUAUAUCUAUAUAUUCUGUUCAGUAUAGAUCUGUUAUAUAUCUGAGAUAUAUAUGCCUGUGAUUAUAUAUGAUAUUAUGGUAUUAUAUAUAUAUAUAUCUCAGAUCAUCUCACUGUUCAAAACAUGCCAAUAGCCCCUAAUCUCAGUGUAAAAGCCACGUUCUUUACUACGGCCUCAAGAUCCUGCAUGACCCAGCUCCUCUUCACUUCUUUGAUCUUACAUCCUCUGACAUUCCCCUCACUUACUCUGCUGCAGCCACACUGGCUUUCUUCCUCAUUACUUUUCUAUCACACCAGACACACUGUUAGCCACAGGGCUUUUGCUGGUUUCCUCUGUCAGAUACAGUUUCUCUCCCCUCCUUGGAAAUUUGGCUUAAAGGUAAGAGGCUGCUCUUGACACUCAUUGAAACUUCCACCUGCCUUCCCCUUUUCUUUCUUUUCUACUUUUUGUACUCCAUAGCACUUAUUACCUUCCAAUCUAAUACCUAUUUUACUUAUGUACUUUGUUUCUUUUCUGGCAUUUUGCACAAGAAUCUCAUCUCCAUACAGCAGGGAUUUUAUAUAUUUUUCAAAGAUGUAGACACAGUGUCUAUAGUUGUACCUAGCACAUAGCAGGUUUUUAAUAAAUUGUAGAUGAAUAAAUAUCUUGCCUUUUACUUGGUUUUAUUGCUGUUUGGUUAUGUGUAUUUUUUUCUUUUGGACCAUAAACAGUGGUACCUGUGUCUAAACUUUUAUAAUUUCAAACCUCCCUAAACUGUACCUGGCAUUUAACUAGAUGUUCAAUAAGCACUAAUCAAAUGAAUAGAAUAAAUUUGCCUGUGAAGCACCAUUCUACAACCAAAUUCAAAACAGAAUUUAGAUUCUAUUAUUGUUAGUGUGAUACUUCAAAUAGUUAUCUAUAUUGAGUAAGUAAAAAUUUGGCAAACAUAUAUUACUUUAAAAUGAACAGUACAUUAAAUUUCAGUUCACUUUAUGUGAUUACAAAAUUGGGCAGGCACACUUUAGAAAUACUACUAUAAAAUCAUGCUUAUAAGAGAAAGG
rnacentral:lncRNA from 1 species